rnacentral:pre_miRNA from 1 species
GUAGUACUCUCUCCGUCCAAAAUUCUUGUCUAAAUAUGGAUAUAUCAAGUCAUGUUUUAGUAUUAGAUACAUUCAUAUCUAGACAAAUCUAAGACAAAAAUUUUGAAACGGAGGAAGUAGAUG